UCAGGUGUGGUGUAGUGUUUUGAGCGUUGGACUAUGACUCUGAAGAUCAAGGUUCAAUUCCCUGCUCCAGCA